rnacentral:piRNA from 1 species
CAACCUCAAAUGUUUCCUCCUAACUUCAAGC